GUCGGACGCCGGGGCCCCGCAGCGAAGACGAUCGAGCGACCGUCAAACGCCACCGACGAGAAAACCCGACCCCGACUCGGCGCGGCGAGUCGCGACUACUGCGGCGAGGAAAAGUCCGGCCGGACGGACCGGCGGCCGAGAGCACGCCCGACACGAGUCCUCCGACGCGUCUCGUUCGAACUUACCCACGGUACUUCG
rnacentral:rRNA from 1 species